UGGGGAAUAUUGGACAAUGGGGGAAACCCUGAUCCAGCAAUGCCGCGUGAGUGAUGAAGGCCUUAGGGUUGUAAAGCUCUUUCGGCGGGGACGAUGAUGACGGUACCCGCAGAAGAAGCCCCGGCUAACUUCGUGCCAGCAGCCGCGGUAAUACGAAGGGGGCAAGCGUUGUUCGGAAUUACUGGGCGUAAAGGGCGCGCAGGCGGCCGACGUAGUCAGGGGUGAAAUCCCAGAGCUCAACUCUGGAACUGCCUUUGAUACUGGGUAUCUUGAGUAUGGAAGAGGUAAGUGGAAUUGCGAGUGUAGAGGUGAAAUUCGUAGAUAUUCGCAGGAACACCAGUGGCGAAGGCGGUGGUCUGGGCCGGAACUGACGCUGAGGAGCGAAAGCGUGGGGAGCGAACAGGAUUAGAUACCC
rnacentral:rRNA from 1 species